rnacentral:rRNA from 1 species
AGGUUCAUGGACUUUCUAGAGAAGAGCGGUGCCUUCGGGAACAUUGAGACAGGUGCUGCAUGGGUGUCGUCAGCUCGUGUCGUGAGAUGUUGGGUUAAGUCCCGUAACGAGCGCAACCCUUGUCCUUAGUUACCAGCACGUAAUGGUGGGCACUCUAAGGAGACUGCCGGUGACAAACCGGAGGAAGGUGGGGAUGACGUCAAGUCAUCAUGGCCCUUACGGCCUGGGCUACACACGUGCUACAAUGGUCGGUACAAAGGGUUGCCAAGCCGCGAGGUGGAGCUAAUCCCAUAAAACCGAUCGUAGUCCGGAUCGCAGUCUGCAACUCGACUGCGUGAAGUCGGAAUCGCUAGUAAUCGUGAAUCAGAAUGUCUCUGUGAAUACGUUCCCGGGUCUUGUACACACCG